UUUAAAAAAGGAACUCGGCAAACACAGACCCCAACUGUUUAACAAAAACAUAACCUUUAGCCAAACAAAUAUUAAAGGCAACGCCUGCCCAGUGAACAAUUAAACGGCCGCGGUAUCCUAACCGUGCAAAGGUAGCAUAAUCAUUUGUCUACUAAUUAUAGACCUGUAUGAAAGGCAAAAUGAGGGUCCUACUGUCUCUUAUAAUCAAUCAAUUAAACUGAUCUCCUAGUAAAAAAGCUAGAAUACCCACAUAAGACCAGAAGACCCUGUGAAGCUUAAACUAAACUAUUAAAUCAAAUAAUAGCUACUUUCGGUUGGGGCGACCUUGGAAAAAAAAAGAACUUCCAACACCGUGACCUUCCUCACACCAUUAAAGGCUGACAGGCCAACAAAAGACCCAGCAAAGCUGAUAAAGAACCAUUGUCACGGGGUUG
rnacentral:rRNA from 1 species